GCUGAGCUAGCUGGGCUGCAAACCUGAAAUGUUAGAGUAUGAGACUCUUAAUCUCAGGGUCAUGGGCUCGAGCCCCACGUUUGGCG